AUGGCCUCCAAGGAGGAGCUGAAUCUGCCUCCCAUUCGGCACGCAAGCCGGGAGGAAAAAGGUUGGCCGCCCUUUGGCCUGAAGAAGCGAAAGGAAGAUGAAGACCGGCAGCCUGCCGACGCCGUAGCUCCACCAAAGAGUCCUUCGCUGAUGAGCUCGAACACGAUCUGCAGAGUGCAGCAACCUGCAUCGCCUUCCACCUUCAUCUACCACCGCGGCAGCCUGAAGAAGAGAGCCCCGACAGCUAGGCUUCCUCCAGAUCAGGGGAGAGCACGAGCUUAUUCGAGAGGGAAAGCUCGCGCCAGAUCCGCCUCCAGUCACCUCUGUCCUCCAUGGACAGUAGGUUGA
rnacentral:rRNA from 1 species